rnacentral:rRNA from 1 species
GAUACGCGAAGAACCUUACCUAGGCUUGACAUUGAUAGAAUCUGCUAGAGAUAGCGGAGUGCUGGCUUGCCAGAGCUUGAAAACAGGUGCUGCACGGCUGUCGUCAGCUCGUGUCGUGAGAUGUUGGGUUAAGUCCCGCAACGAGCGCAACCCUCGUCCUUAGUUGCUAGCAGUUCGGCUGAGCACUCUAAGGAGACUGCCUUCGUAAGGAGGAGGAAGGUGAGGAUGACGUCAAGUCAUCAUGGCCCUUACGCCUAGGGCUACACACGUGCUACAAUGGGGUGUACAAAGAGAAGCAAUACUGCGAAGUGGAGCCAAUCUCUAAAACAUCUCUCAGUUCGGAUUGUAGUCUGCAACUCGACUACAUGAAGCUGGAAUCGCUAGUAAUCGCAAAUCAGCCAUGUUGCGGUGAAUACGUUCCCGGGUCUUGUACUCACCGCCCGUCACACCAUGGGAGUUGUAUUCGCCUUAAGUCGGAAUACUAAACUAGUUACCGCCCACGGCGGAUGCAGCGACUGGGGUGAAGUCGUAACAAGGUAACCGUAGGUGAACCUGCGGUUGGAUCACCUCCUUUC